CUGCUUUCAUCUCUGAAUAACGGCAACAGGGAACAGCACUGCCAUUGAAAGAGUCCACACAGUCCGUGGAAGGAGUUAAUACUCAAUCUGAAGCUACAUGGCAAGUUCACUUAGUUACUUAUAGAGAGAAGUUCCAUGCCAAAAAAAUUUGUCAGUGGAGCCCAAAGAGCACUGAAACCACAGUGGCUGUGGUUUACCUUCAGAUUCAUACACCUAAAUUUGCGUAUCUAAACAGGGCCAUCUGGAAUCUCUCUGAGUCCUAUCAGAUGAAAUGCACCUGGAGGCCUUUCCUGGGCUAAUGGCUUUCAGCAGGUUACUCAAGAGAAGACAAGGAACCUAAAUGUUGUCUAAAUAAUGUCUUGCUGUCUGGUGAGGAAGAGUGAGUUGCCUGAAGAAAAAGGGUUUUGUUAACUGAGAGAAGUCUGGGAGGAACUGUUGGUCUGGACACUACUACAUAAUUAUGAAAGAAAGAGCAGCAUAUUACAGUAAUGCCAUGACUUUGAGGAAGAUGCUAUGUCCAACAGUAUCAGUUUCCAGGAAUGGAGGUGAUGAUAGUGGCCUGCAGAUAUUUAUCAACAAGUCAUUCCCAG
ensembl:lncRNA